CAGAAAAUAGUUUAGUUUAGAAUCCUA
rnacentral:tRNA from 1 species